rnacentral:rRNA from 1 species
GAUGAACGCUGGCGGCGUGCUUAACACAUGCAAGUCGAACGGUGAAGCAGGAGCUUGCUCCUGUGGAUCAGUGGCGAACGGGUGAGUAACACGUGAGCAAUCUGCCCUGGACUCUGGGAUAAGCGUUGGAAACAACGUCUAAUACCGGAUACGAGGCGUGGGGGCAUCCCCAACGCCUGGAAAGAACUUCGGUCCAGGAUGAGCUCGCGGGCUAUCAGGUAGUUGGUGAGGUAACGGCUCACCAAGGCUACGACGGGUAGCCGGCCUGAGAGGGUGACCGGCCACACUGGGACUGAGACACGGCCCAGACACCUACGGGAGGCAGCAGUGGGGAAUAUUGCACAAUGGGCGCAAGCCUGAUGCAGCAACGCCGCGUGAGGGACGACGGCCUUCGGGUUGUAAACCUCUUUUAGCAGGGAAGAAGCGAAAGUGACGGUACCUGCAGAAAAAGCACCGGCUAACUACGUGCCAGCCGCCGCGGUAAGAC